rnacentral:rRNA from 1 species
AACGAACGCUGGCGGCAGGCCUAACACAUGCAAGUCGAGCGCCCCGCAAGGGGAGCGGCGGACGGGUGAGUAACGCGUGGGAACGUACCCUUUGCUACGGAAUAGCCUCGGGAAACUGGGAGUAAUACCGUAUGUGCCCUUCGGGGGAAAGAUUUAUCGGCAAAGGAUCGGCCCGCGUUGGAUUAGGUAGUUGGUGGGGUAAUGGCCUACCAAGCCGACGAUCCAUAGCUGGUUUGAGAGGAUGAUCAGCCACACUGGGACUGAGACACGGCCCAGACUCCUACGGGAGGCAGCAGUGGGGAAUCUUAGACAAUGGGCGCAAGCCUGAUCUAGCCAUGCCGCGUGAGCGAUGAAGGCCUUAGGGUUGUAAAGCUCUUUCAGUUGGGGAAGAUAAUGACUGUACCCACAGAAGAAGCCCCGGCUAACUCCGUGCCAGCCAGCCGCGGUAAUAUCACGUGUA